rnacentral:lncRNA from 1 species
CCAGAAUUGCUCGUUGCGCCACCAAUCCUCGAGCUCGAUGCCGGACCACUUGACCUCGAGGAUGCCGAGGGCGACGAGGGUGAUGGUCAUGGUGAGGAGGUAGCAAAGGAAGGCGAUGUCGAGCUUCUGGACGAUGAAGAAGCCGGAGAAGAGGGAGAGCGCCGGGAUGAAGCAGUAGACGAGGAGGAAGAUGGAGGUGAAGGGGUAGAUGCCGACGUUGAGGUAGGAGAUCCGCUGCAGCAGCAUGAGCUUGCGCGACGCCAGGAACGCGUUGUUCCGGGAGAAGAAGAUCUCGACGGAGCCCGUCGCCCACCGGAGCACCUGGUGGAGCCUGUCGGUGAGGUUGAUCGGCGCCGUGCCCAGGAACGCGUCGCGCUUGGUGAUGCAGUAGACGGAGCGCCACCCGCGGUUGUGCAUCCGGUAGCCGGUCACCACGUCCUCGGUGACGGAGCCAUCCACCCCACGCGGUCGCCCCACUCCGUCUUGUCCUCGUACCAGCACGAGAUCACCGACACGGCCUCCGCCACCGUCGGCGGGUCCAGCGGCGGCCGCGGCACGGUGAGCGCGCCGGACGGCCUGCCGUGCAGCACCGCCGGGUGGUCGGCGAGGGGCCGCGCCUGGAACUCGGCGACGGGGAUCGACGCCAUGAACGGCGACGAGUUGCCGAACCGGCGCGGGACGAGGUGCGACGUGAGCUCGGCGUCGAAGUCCUCCGCCUUGAGCGUCUGGGUGUCCGACUCCGGGUCCUUGAACGUGGUCACCUUCUUCUUGCCACCCCGUGUACUCGGCGGUGCGCGGAGGGUCGAAGCCGUAGACGGCGAAGCGGCGGAACAUGCAGCCCGUGCCGACGUACAUGGGGCCCUGGAGGCCGUCGAGCGCGCGCAUGUUGCCAUCGAAGAAGACGGUGUUGUUGUUGGCGUAGCGGUCGGAGGGGUCGAUCCCCUCGAAGCGCUGCGGGAACUGGAUGUAGGCGAUGCGCUCGCCGCCGCGGUCCAUGAAGAAGCACAUGGCCUCGCGCACCGCCUGCGCGUUGUUGAUGUAGUGGUCGCAGUCGAAGUUGAGCAUGAAGGGGCCGUUCGACAUGACGGCGGAGCAUCGGACGAGCGCGUUCAUGGCGCCGGCCUUCUUGUUGUGGUCGUAGCCCGGGCGCUUCUCCCGCGACAUGUAGACGAGCAUCGGGAGGCGGAUGUCGACGUCGCUGAAGUCGAUCAUCUGGUCGUCGUCGUGCAUCCCAGCGGGUCGGGCGACGGCGGCUUGAGCAUCACCUGGAGGAUCCCGGCGUGGUUGCCCUUGGCGUGGUCGGGCGCCGACGCCGCCCAUGUCCCCGGCCAGUGCGAGCCGUCCGCCAUCCACGUCGCCUUCUUCACCUUGGGCUGCUCCGACGGGUCGGCGCCCGUCUCGCGGAGGUGCUUGAGCAUCUUCAUGUCCUCGCGCGCGUUGAACGCGUCGGAGCGCCGCCGGAUGGAGUCCGGGAGGCCAUUGAUGCGCACCUUGAACUCGUCGAACUCGCGCUUCACCCUGCGCCGGUCCUUGACGAAGUCGUUGCGCCGCUUGCCCUUCGUGAGCAGCGCGCCGCCGUCGUCGGACACGUAG